AUUUCUCUGGAGAGUUUUUGACCGCAGAGGUCAAAACGCCGAAGGUGUAAGGCGAGAUUUUUUUUCGCCAAUCUCUCAGGCAAAAGGACAGAGAC
rnacentral:ncRNA from 1 species